rnacentral:misc_RNA from 1 species
GGUCCGUUGGUGAACCAGCGGAGGGAUCAUUACUGGAAUCGCAAGAUCCCACGACCCCUGUGAACCUACCGACACGUUGCCCCGGCGGGCGCCGGGCCCCGCGCCGGGCGCUGAGCCAGCCGGCGGCCCCCUACUCUCGCCUCUGCAGCGUGGCAUAUCAGAGUCCAAGAAAACAAGAAAAAACUUUCAACAACGGAUCUCUUGGCUCUC